rnacentral:rRNA from 1 species
UAGGGAAUCUUCCGCAAUGGGCGAAAGCUUGACGGAGCAACGCCGCGUGAGUGAUGAAGGUCUUCGGAUUGUAAAACUCUGUUAUUAGGGAAGAACAAAUGUGUAAGUAACUAUGCACGUCUUGACGGUACCUAAUCAGAAAGCCACGGCUAACUACGUGCCAGCAGCCGCGGUAAUACGUAGGUGGCAAGCGUUAUCCGGAAUUAUUGGGCGUAAAGCGCGCGUAGGCGGUUUUUUAAGUCUGAUGUGAAAGCCCACGGCUCAACCGUGGAGUGUCAUUUGAGACUGUAAAACUUGAGUGCAGCAGAGGAGAGUAGAAUUCCAUGUGUAGCGGUGAAAUGCGCAGAGAUAUGGAGGAACACCAGUGGCGAAGGCGACUUUCUGGUCUGAUACUGACGCUGAUGUGCGAAAGCGUGGGGAUCAAACAGG